UCGCUGGGUGCUUUGCUGGUGGGCUGGGGCUUCAAGAGUUCCAUGAGGUCUCCUCGGAAUCGAAAGGGGCGGUUCAGUUCUGCGUCAGCGGA
rnacentral:tRNA from 1 species